rnacentral:misc_RNA from 1 species
AUGUUCACUUUCCACUUGAGAAGACACAAAAAUUGUCUUGUCGCUUUAGGAUAAUGUGUUGACUCGCAGGAACUAGUUGCAAUGAACGGCGAUUAAAUUGGUCUGUUUUUUUGUUGGUUAAGCAUGGUAGAUAACGUUUGUUCAAACAAUAGCUUAAAGUGACAUGGUUUUGCCUAUGUUUAUGGUAAAAGCAUCGAUAGAGCUGUACAUUUUUAUAUGCAUUAUGUUUAAGUGAGUUUAUUUAUAUUUCAAACAGGUAUUAUGAAGCUUACAACUUUUAAUUGUAAUACCUAUUAUGAAGUUUAAUUUAAGAGAUGGCGAGUUGGCACCUGUUUUGUAAGUACUUUACUCGUUUUCUCACGUCCAAUAAACGAAUAUGCAGUUUUGGGUGUAAUAUCUUUAUACCGACUUUAUUUUUUUGUUUAGUCUAUGCUAGAAAGAUAAUAUGAAAGUAAAUAAAAGAUGAAUAAAAGAACCAUUAAAUUGAUACUGUAU